rnacentral:rRNA from 1 species
GAUGAACGCUGGCGGCGUGCCUAAUACAUGCAAGUCGAGCGAACGGACGAGAAGCUUGCUUCUCUGAUGUUAGCGGCGGACGGGUGAGUAACACGUGGAUAACCUACCUAUAAGACUGGGAUAACUUCGGGAAACCGUAGCUAAUACCGGAUAAUAUUUUGAACCGCAUGGUUCAAAAGUGAAAGACGGUCUUGCUGUCACUUAUAGAUGGAUCCGCGCUGCAUUAGCUAGUUGGUAAGGUAACGGCUUACCAAGGCAACGAUGCAUAGCCGACCUGAGAGGGUGAUCGGCCACACUGGAACUGAGACAUGGUCCAGACUCCUACGGGAGGCAGCAGUAGGGAAUCUUCCGCAAUGGGCGAAAGCCUGACGGAGCAACGCCGCGUGAGUGAUGAAGGUCUUCGGAUCGUAAAACUCUGUUAUUAGGGAAGAACAUAUGUGUAAGUAACUGUGCACAUCUUGACGGUACCUAAUCAGAAAGCCACGGCUAACUACGUG